UACGUAGGGGGCAAGCGUUGUCCGGAAUCAUUGGGCGUAAAGAGCGCGUAGGCGGCCCAGUCAGUCCGCUCUGAAAGUCAGGGGCUUAACCCCUGAAUGCGGGUGGAUACUGCUGGGCUAGAGUCCGGAAGAGGCGAGUGGAAUUCCUGGUGUAGCGGUGAAAUGCGCAGAUAUCAGGAGGAACACCGGUGGCGAAGGCGGAUCUCUGGGCCUGUUCUGACGCUGAGGCGCGAAAGCUAGGGGAGCGAACAGG
rnacentral:rRNA from 1 species